GAUGAACGCUAGCGGCAGGCUUAAUACAUGCAAGUCGAGGGGUCAGCAAUGACACCGGCGGACGGGUGCGUAACGCGUAUGCAACCUACCUACAUCAGGGGGAUAGCCCUAGGAAACUGGGAUUAACACCGCAUAAUAGUAUUGAUGGCAUCAUUGAUAUUUGAAAUAUUUAUAGGAUGUAGAUGGGCAUGCGUAAGAUUAGCUAGUUGGUAAGGUAACGGCUUACCAAGGCUACGAUCUUUAGGGGCUCUGAGAGGAGUAUCCCCCACACUGGCACUGAGAUACGGGCCAGACUCCUACGGGAGGAAGCAGUAGGGAAUAUUGGGCAAUGGAGGCAACUCUGACCUAGCCAUGCCGCGUGCAGGAAGACGGCCCUCUGGGUUGUAAACUGCUUUUGAAUGGGAAGAAUGUGAUGUUUGCGAGCAUUAAUGACGGUACCAUUAGAAUAAGCCACGGCUAACUACGUGCCAGCCGCCGCCGUAAAAC
rnacentral:rRNA from 1 species